rnacentral:rRNA from 1 species
GUGUCAGCCGCCGCGGUAAUACGUAGGUGGCGAGCGUUGUCCGGAAUUAUUGGGCGUAAAGCGCGCGCAGGCGGGAUAUUAAGUCUAUUCUAAAAGUUCGGGGCUCAACCCCGUGAUGGGAUGGAAACUAAUAUUCUUGAGUGCCGGAGAGGAAAGCGGAAUUCCCAGUGUAGCGGUGAAAUGCGUAGAUAUUGGGAGGAACACCAGUGGCGAAGGCGGCUUUCUGGACGG